AGGAGAAGAAGGAUAAAAAGAAGGACAAGAAAGAGAAGGAUGAGAAGAAGAAAGAUUCAAAGGUAUCUCGCGAUUAUGACGAAGAGGAGCAACUGGGCUUCGAAGGAGAGGAAGAGAAGGGGAAGAAGAAGGAGAAGGAGGAGGAGGACACCAAGGACAAAGGAGAAGCAGUUGACAUGGAUAUUUCGAACUCCCCCUGAAUGGAAAGGAAAAGGAUUAGUGGCUCAGAUAUGCACACCGAUUGAGACGGGAUGUCGAGAGGAAUAGACAGGGGAGUAGGAGAGUAGGGGUAGGUUGGUUGAUUUUGACUGGGACAUCUAUAACUCCCUUUGAGCGGAAAGUAGAAGCAAAUGGAGUAGUAGCACAGAUAUACACGCUGAUCAAAUUGGGAUGUUGGGAGGAGUUGAUGGCAGGGGAGUAGAAGAAGGGUAGGAUGGAUGAUUUAACAAAUCUGUAACUCCCCUUAAACAGCCUCAGAUUAGCACACUGACUGAAGAGGGAUGUCACAAGGAGUUAUUGGCGGGGGAGUAGGGGGUAGGGAGUGUAAGCUGUGCAAAUAUUGUUUGUAUUUCUUCUUUACCCGUGAGGUUCCUAUUCUAAAGAAGAUUAUUAUAAGUGUAGCCUAUUCUUAGGUAUUGGAUAAUUCUGAAUUUCUUUGCUCGAAGGUACAGAAUAUGAUUAAAAAAAAACUCGUAUAAUUUUCUCAUUUAGAGCUGAUUGCAAUAUUUCUUAAUUAUAAAAGAAAAAAAAAAAAAUGUUGACUCAUUUAAUCUUUAAUUUCUGUCGCCCUUUUUUUCUUUUUUUCUGCCGUAUCUUUCUUUUCUUUUCUUUUUUCUGAAUAGGAAUACAAUUACAAGUCAGUGUUUGUAAUUCAGUGAUACACUCAACUGGGAUAUCUGGUUGCAGUUCUUUUUAUUUUAUUUUUCUGACUUCACUGUUUAAAUUUUAAAAUAAAAUGUAUAGAAAUUAAUCGAAGAAUAAACAUGAAGUGUUUUCAA